rnacentral:tRNA from 1 species
CGGGGCGUAGCUUAGCUUGGUAGAGCGCUGCGUUCGGGACGCAGAGGCCGCUGGUUCAAAUCCAGUCGCCCCGA